UGAGGAAUGUGAAUGGCUAAGAGACUUAGAUUGGUUGGAGAUGUGAAUGGUGAGGAAGUUUUCUUGUGAACUAUCUUUUGGUGUCGUGACUUUGCUUGAGGACAAGCAAAGGAUCAAGUGUGGGGGGGUUGUUUAGCCCUAUUUUGUGAUGAAUCUCUGGGUAUUUACGUCUUAUAUUGACUUUUAUUUUGGUCUCUUUCACUUAAGAGUUGAAUGAUUUGAGCUUUUGUGCUAAUUUUGUGGUCUCAGGA
rnacentral:lncRNA from 1 species